AUCGGUGUAUCUACAAUUUAGCAUUUCAGUGAAGAAGUGAAUGUAAAAAAAAUCAGCCACGUUGGGGUUGGGGUGGAAACUUCAACUACAGCUAAGGAAGUAGUUUGUUUUGUGUCUACAUUAUUGCGAGUGAUAUUGACCAUUGUGUUGAUAAAACAUUGAAGUAAAGUUGGUGGAGCAAUAUAUCCAUAGUUUGCCUCUCCAAUGGCUUCAGGGGGCUUUUGCCUGAGUGAGGUGGGCAGAGGGAAACUAAACACAUAAGAAGUAUACCUUCAUAAUAGAUUUCUAAACAUUCUCACAGAGCAGAAAGCAUCAACCCUUAUCAGUUCAAUCUUGAAAUGUUUUCUGUCUUCACAGCUCAGGGGAGAGGUCUGAGCAGGCUGUGAGAAACCUUGGUGAACGUGGGAUUCUGGGGCCAGACAGUGACUAGUCUGUUUCCUGCCAUAAGUUAUGCCAACCUGAAACCUGCUGUAACUCGUCCCCAGUGACCACUCAGAUAGUCAAGAACAUCCAAAGUGCAAAGGUUCCCCAGUCUUGUGGUUGUCUGGACAGCGUUGGUGUAGAACUGCUGCACUGCCUAGGAAUUGUCUUCAUGAGCAGACCCAGCAACUGAAUCCUGAGCUCCUGAGUCCCAAUCCAGUGCUUUGACCACAAGACUAUUCUUCUUAUCAGAUGUCGUGUAGAGCUGAGGAAAGUGAGACCAUGGACGAGCCUGUUGUGUCGGAUUCCUGUUUAAUGAUUGUGGGGUCCAGGGUUGUAUCUCUGGCCCUAUUUGGUGGCAUUCAUCACAUCCUGGUGUCUUUGUGUUGCCACUAUGAGCAAUAGCUACUCACCAGAGCUCAUGCUGCUUCUUUCCUGACUUGGUAAGCCUCUAUGGUGCUGGGUUU